rnacentral:rRNA from 1 species
ACAACGAAGAGUUUGAUCCUGGCUCAGGAUGAACGCUAGCGACAGGCUUAACACAUGCAAGUCGAGGGGCAGCACAGGUAGCAAUACCGGGUGGCGACCGGCGCACGGGUGAGUAACGCGUAUGCAACUUACCUAUCAGAGGGGGAUAACCCGGCGAAAGUCGGACUAAUACCGCAUGAAGCAGGGGCCCCGCAUGGGGAUAUUUGCUAAAGAUUUAUCGCUGAUAGAUAGGCAUGCGUUCCAUUAGGCAGUUGGCGGGGUAACGGCCCACCAAACCGACGAUGGAUAGGGGUUCUGAGAGGAAGGUCCCCCACAUUGGUACUGAGACACGGACCAAACUCCUACGGGAGGCAGCAGUGAGGAAUAUUGGUCAAUGGGGCGCGAGCCUGAACCAGCCAAGUCGCGUGAGGGAUGAAGGUUCUAUGGAUCGUAAACCUCUUUUAUAAGGGAAUAAAGUGCGGGACGUGUCCCGUUUUGUAUGUACCUUAUGAAUAAGGAUCGGCUAACUCCGUGCCAGCAGCCGCGGUAAUACGGAGGAUCCGAGCGUUAUCCGGAUUUAUUGGGUUUAAAGGGUGCGUAGGCGGCCUUUUAAGUCAGCGGUGAAAGUCUGUGGCUCAACCAUAGAAUUGCCGUUGAAACUGGGGGGCUUGAGUAUGUUUGAGGCAGGCGGAAUGCGUGGUGUAGCGGUGAAAUGCUUAGAUAUCACGCAGAACCCCGAUUGCGAAGGCAGCCUGCCAAGCCAUGACUGACGCUGAUGCACGAAAGCGUGGGGAUCAAACAGGAUUAGAUACCCUGGUAGUCCACGCAGUAAACGAUGAUCACUAGCUGUUUGCGAUACAGUGUAAGCGGCACAGCGAAAGCGUUAAGUGAUCCACCUGGGGAGUACGCCGGCAACGGUGAAACUCAAAGGAAUUGACGGGGGCCCGCACAAGCGGAGGAACAUGUGGUUUAAUUCGAUGAUACGCGAGGAACCUUACCCGGGUUUGAACGCAUUCGGACCGAGGUGGAAACACCUUUUCUAGCAAUAGCCGUUUGCGAGGUGCUGCAUGGUUGUCGUCAGCUCGUGCCGUGAGGUGUCGGCUUAAGUGCCAUAACGAGCGCAACCCUUGCCACUAGUUACUAACAGGUAAAGCUGAGGACUCUGGUGGGACUGCCAGCGUAAGCUGCGAGGAAGGCGGGGAUGACGUCAAAUCAGCACGGCCCUUACAUCCGGGGCGACACACGUGUUACAAUGGCGUGGACAAAGGGAUGCCACCUGGCGACAGGGAGCGAAUCCCCAAACCACGUCUCAGUUCGGAUCGGAGUCUGCAACCCGACUCCGUGAAGCUGGAUUCGCUAGUAAUCGCGCAUCAGCCAUGGCGCGGUGAAUACGUUCCCGGGCCUUGUACACACCGCCCGUCAAGCCAUGGGAGCCGGGGGUACCUGAAGUCCGUAACCGCGAGGAUCGGCCUAGGGUAAAACUGGUGACUGGGGCUAAGUCGUAACAAGGUAGCCGUACCGGAAGGUGCGGCUGGAACACCUCCUUU